CCUUAAUUAAGCACAUAUCGAUGGGUAGCAUAACUCGACAGAACACCGGCCGUAUGUUUACAGCUGUUCCAACUAAUUCACUAACUGCCCUCUCUGAUGCGAACUGAGAGUGUCACACUAACCAGGCAGCAGAUGGGGCUUUGUUGCCUCCUGGAUUUGGGCUGAAUUCAGUCUUGGAUGUGUCCAAGUUCUUUGCUUUUGGAGGACUCUACUUGAGCUUCACUUACUAAUGAAAUGCAGCAGCUUCACUGUAAAAGACUAAAAUGGACGUCCUAAGAGUUGUUUCCACAUGGUGUCCAACUCCCCCACCCACCAGUGGUCUGUUCGAUUAUGCCUGUCUGAAGUUUGGCAGACACCUGUGUUUGGACAUGGCCUCAAAAAGGUGUCAAGAGUUGGGUGGAAAAGAAAAAAAAAGAAAAGACCAGUGAGAUUCUAAUGUGUCGCUUGCAGACGCUGAUGGUCGUUCUUACCCUCCUCCUUCCCCACCGCCUCCAGGUUGGUCCCGUUCGGCUGCCAGGGGGUUGGCUCCGCCCUGUCUUCAAUGUACGACAGGAUCUGCAGAGCCCAGAUGUAUCAAGUCCUGGGCCGAUGACGGGGCCUACGCCAAAGACUCUACUAGACGAAACUGUGUCUAUAUAACUUUCUUGAAAACAUACAUGUACUUUGUUUUGCUAAAAAUUGUUCAAACAUUAAAUGGUUCAACUAACAAAUUUGCUUCCGGAGUCGUAAUAGUAGAACUAAUGCUCUAAGAACAUUAAUUGUAGCAUUCAGAAAAUGUUCAUAUAACCAAAAACUGUUCGCUGGAAUGGUGGAGGCUUUAUACUUCUCUAAACUUAGCACUAAACCUGGUAUUAGACAUGGCGCCAAUAGGGCCAGUAUGUUCAGACUGCCAGCCCAAAUUGCCCUGAUUUUUGGCAUAUCUAGAUUGUAUCCAAAUUUAUUCAGUUUAUUUUUUUUUGGACAGCCAGAAACCGCAUUAAAUCAAUUCAGAUCCAAACUAUAUUUGGAGGUGGUUUGAAAUCCAAGAUUUUUUAACAUGUUUUUUUUAUGUUAUUCUUCAAAUGCAGAAGUUACGGAAGUGCUGAGGUCCAAGAAGAGUGUCAAAGGAUGGUUACAUUUGGACAUAUCAACCAAUCUAGUAUUACCCACCUUCAAGGAAUUCUUAAUUUGUUAGACAAAUGCCUUCAAAUAACUGCCUUAUGAGACAUCAGACAUUUGGAGUCAGCACACCUUAGUCAUCCUCAAAUAACAUACAACUCAGUGCAGUUUAAUCACAGGGUGACCAGCUAAGCGUCUCUCUCAGAAAGUAGCAUUUACAAAAAGUGGCAUUUGGGCAAAUUGGCGGCUGAUGUAGAUCUUGAAAGCUCUCCUCCAGUGACCGCGACGGUCAUUCUUUCCUGCCAUUUUGCAGAGAAUUUUCUUCUCAGCUUGCUUUCUUGCAAGGACGUGACGUACGGUAGGUUGGAGGCUGUAGCGGGCUAGCUCUUUCUGACUCCCACUGCGCUGUAAUGGAGCUUUUCCCUGCAGCUACUGCCUGAACAGCCGAGCUUCAAGAGCUUCGGUGUUAUGCAGGCAGCAACCCGAGGAGCCUGUAGCACUGACUGUAAAUGCUCGCUCCAGUUCUGUGUGUAGAGACUGGUUUGAUACUCUGUGACAGAUCGCUUGGCACUCGUCUUUCUCUCCUCUGGUAGUCAAUCUCGAGUAAUCCUUCCACCUCUUCUUAGGUAUCAACCAAAGGCUUCCACCGUAGGCUUCCAUUUGCGCACCUCUGGACUCUAACAAAGGCCUGCCUGCAGAUUUCUCCCGGCAAAGUUAUCAGAUGAAAAUCACAUGUGGACAUGCUGAGUAUUUAAUCCUAGUAAGUAUUACAGCGAGUGCUGCCAACGAUUCAUUCCAGGCUUACCCACCAAAAACUGCUCCAAGCGAAAUUGAAAAUGCCCCAACUGUUAGCUAAGCUCUCGGCCAACUGCUUGGACUCUUUCUGCCC